rnacentral:tRNA from 1 species
GGUAAGACGCCGGAUGAACGGACAACAUUGAUGGCGUUGAACAUGUGAUAUUAUAUCUCUCUUACCU